rfam:Halogranum amylolyticum strain CGMCC 1.10121 genome assembly, contig: Ga0070203_101
GCGAGGGUGGCUGAGCUAGGCCAAAAGCGGCGGGCUUAAGACCCGCUUCCGUAGGGAUUCGAGGGUUCAAAUCCCUUCCCUCGCA